GGGCUCCCCAAGAUCAGAGCAGGAAUUCUUCAAGAUAUGCCGACCGAAGAAGAAAUCCCUGCAAAAUGGAAUAUCGAUCCAGAGGAGUCACAGGUCCCAAGUCCCUGUACGGAGUCACCAAAACUGUUGCCUAAAUGUCUGUGGGGAAAAAAAGACUCCAAACCAAAUUAGAGGGGUGUGCAGUACACCUGGAAUCAGCUGCCCCGGGGUGGAAACACAGUCCCACCAUUUGCCAUGGACUGAUCCAGACUGCACUGGAAAAUGGUGAGGCUCCAGAACAUCUACAGUACAUAGAUUACAUCAUUGCAUGGGGGAACACAGUGGGAGAAGUCUUUGAGAAAGGAGAGAAGAUAAUCCAGAUUCUCAUAAGAGCUGGUUUUGCCAUUAAACAUUAAGGUCAAGGGACCUGCUCAGGAAAUUCAGUUCCUAGGAAUGAAGUGGCAAGAUGGACACUGCUGGAUUCCAAUAGAGGUGAUUAACAAAAUAGCAACCAUGUCCCCACCAACCAGCAAGAAGGAAACACAGGCUUUCCUAGGCACCGUGGGCUUUUGGAGAAUGCAUAUCCCUGAGUACAAUCAGAUUGUAAGUCCUCUCUACCUUAUGACACGGAAGAAAAAUGAUUUCCACUGGGGCCCUGAACAACAACAGACCUUUGAACAAAUUAAACAGGAGAUUGCCCAUGCAGUAGCCCUUGGGCCAGUCAGGACAGGACAGGAUGUGAAGAACUUGCUCUACACUGCAGUCAUGGAGAAUGACCCUUCCUAGAGCCUCUGGCAGAAAGUGCCUGGGGAGACACGUGGAUGACUACUGGGAUUCUGGAGUUGGGGAUACAAAGGAUCUGAAACCAGUUAUACCCCAACUGAGGAAGAGAUCCUGGCUGCUUAUUGUGGUGGUUCUCCCCCAGCUGGCCUGGGGGAUUCGGGAAGAGUUAAAGUUAGCAGGAACCUUUGUUCAGGGGAGAAUUACGCCUGGACCCGGAAAUUGUAACAAUAUGGUUUUCCGGUAAAAUGUGCUGAACACAGCAAAAUGUGUUUCGUGACAUGUGCAGUAAGCAGAGUUAUAUAACACCGUUAGUGGCCAAUGGAAGAAUAUUUAUGUAUGUGGGAACCAGUGGAGAGUUGACAUGUGUAGCCUAAAAAGUGUAUAAAAGUAGCAGACAUCGUGCAAUAAAGUGUUCCAGCCUCUGGAUCCACAAGGGUUUUGUGUCGUGUCCCGCCUCAACCCACGACAGCUUAUGAAGGAGUUCAAGCUGCCUUAGAAGAGAUGGGCACUGAAGCACAGCUCCUCCUGGUACCCAGACUACCAGUGCUGGACUGGAUGUUCAAAGGAAAAACUCCUUCUACAACCAUCACGCCACCGAUGCCACAUGGAGUAAGUGAAUCACUCUGAUCACACAGCAAACCCAGAUAGGGAAUCCUAAUUGCCCUGGGAUUCUGGAAACUAUCACCAACUGGCCCAAAGGUGAGAGUGUCGGACUAUCCUCUGAAGAAGAAGAGGAGUAGGUGACACAGGCUGAGGAGGCCCAACCAUAUAACCAGCUACCAGAAGAUGAAAAACAAUAUGCUCUCUUCACAGAUGGCUCCUGUCGCAUUGUAGGGACAAACCGGAAAUGGAAGGCAGCUGUAUGGAGUCCCACACGGCGAGUUGUAGAAGUGACUGAAGGACAAGGUGGGUCAAGUCAGGUUGCAGAGCUUAAAACUGUUCAGCUGGUUUUGGAUUUUGCUAAACUAGAGAAAUGGCCAAGACUCUAUCACUACACUGACUCAUGGAUGGUAGCCAAUGCUCUAUGGGGAUGGUUAGAGUGAUGAAGUAAGGCCAACUGGCAGGGCUUGUUUUUGCACAAGACCUGGUUUUAUUUGGUUAAUAAUGCAAAAAGAUGGGGAAACAUGUUGUGUAACCUAAGGGGACCUAAUUUUGAGUGAGAAUGGUCUGUAAUGUUUCAUUGUAAAUAUAUAUGUAUAUAGUUUUAAAGGGUGUUAAUUUGGGCAUGACAUAGGUGGUAUAGAAUAAGGGAUGGAUAAUGUCCUAGUUAAAGCAGCCAGGACCAGUUCAUCACUGUGUGGGUGCAACCCAAACUGUGUAUUCUAAACCCUCUAUGUCAUUUCCCAGAAACUGUUAACAAUAGACCAUUUGCAGCAACUGCCCAGGGCACACCUGACCCCUCAGGCUAUAAGCUGGGUGUUAAGAGGCCUGUGAGAGAAAAGGAUGUUCCUGUCCACCCACAACUCACAGUCACCCAUUGUGGAAUUCCCUGCCCUGGGGGAGACGCUGGGCAUUCCUGCCUGAACCUGAGUGUAUAUAAUCUUAGGGUCUUGGGACUUCUGGUACCACUCGUGGGAUCCAGAGGAGGGCCACCACUCUUGACCAGACUGCGACUACCACUCUCAACCAGAGUGCAACCAUUGCUCUCAACUGGACUGCAACCACCGCUUGCACCAACAGGUUCUUCCUCUCCUUUUAUUUUUGAACUGCAGGGGGCCCACGUGGGGCUCAGCACGGGGGCCAAUGAACACCAUUCUGUUCGUACCCCAGGGUACCAGGUUAUACAUCUGGUCUUUUUGUGGUUUAAAACCAAUUCAUCAUCUGUAUAAUUGUAUUUAUUGUAUUAUUUUAUUAAAUUGUAAUUCUGACUUAUAA